AAAGUCGUAACAAGGUUUCCGUAGGUGAACCUGCGGAAGGAUCAUUAAUGAAUUUAAAGGGUUGUAGCUGGCUUUUCGAAGCAUGUGCACACCUUUCAUCUUCUAUUUCUACACCUGUGCACCUUUUGUAGGCUGAAUUCGAAAGAAGACAGUCUAUGUUUUUAUAUACCCCUUAAAAAGUUUAGAAUGUUAUAAUGUAUGUUUGUCUUAAAAAGCAAACUUCUUAAACAUAUAUACAACUUUCAACAACGGAUCUCUUGGCUCUC
rnacentral:misc_RNA from 1 species